rnacentral:sRNA from 1 species
GCCUGACGCCUUUUGGGCGUUUCCUCCCUAGACUUCUGACCGUAUCGUCGAGGCGAUGCGGUCUUUUUUUGACGGCAG